CGAACGGGUGAGUAACGCGUGAGCAACCUGCCUAUGACAGUGGGAUAGCCUCGGGAAACCGGGAUUAAUACCGCAUAAAAUCGUAGAAACACAUGUUUUAACGGUCAAAGAUUUAUCGGUCAUAGAUGGGCUCGCGUCUGAUUAGCUAGUUGGUGAGAUAACAGCCCACCAAGGCGACGAUCAGUAGCCGGUCUGAGGGGAUGAACGGCCACAUUGGAACUGAGACACGGUCCAA
rnacentral:rRNA from 1 species